GAUGAUUAUAUAAUAUUGAAGUAUAAAAAGAAACUAAUAUCUUUGAAGCUUGGUUGAGAAUAUUUUUAUAGGAUGCUAACACUUUUGGUAAGCUUUGAAGUCUUUUAGAAUAUUUUUGAGCCUUAAAAAUUAAGGUUGGAGAUGAAUUCAUUGAAAAAAAUCAACUUAAGAAUGGCAAGUCGACUCCCUACUUUGGAUGAGUUGACUUUAGCACAA
rnacentral:lncRNA from 1 species